rnacentral:rRNA from 1 species
UAAGGAAUCUUGCACAAUGGGGGAAACCCUGAUGCAGCGAUGCCGCGUGAGUGAAGAAGGCCUUUGGGUUGUAAAACUCUUUCGUCGGGGAGGAAAAUGACUGUACCCGAAUAAGAAGGUCCGGCUAACUUCGUGCCAGCAGCCGCGGUAAUACGGAGGAUCCAAGCGUUAUCCGGAUUUAUUGGGUUUAAAGGGUCCGCAGGCGGAAUAUUAAGUCAGUGGUGAAAUCCUACAGCUUAACUGUAGAACUGCCAUUGAUACUGAUUUUCUCGAGUACACCUGAAGUGGGCGGAAUGUGUCAUGUAGCGGUGAAAUGCUUAGAUAUGACACAGAACACCAAUUGCGAAGGCAGCUCACUAAAGUGUAACUGACGCUGAGGGACGAAAGCGUGGGUAGCGAACAGG